ensembl:lncRNA
CUGGCGAGGAAGCUCUCAGAUGAGGAGUCAGAUGAUUUUCAGGGUGCUCAGGGUGCAACAUUCCCCCUCCCCUCUGAAUGAAAGUUUCUGCUGGUCUCAUGAAGCUUCUGCUAGUCACGAGAAACAAUCAUCACCAAGAAGGAUUUUAGUGCUUUUCUAGAUAUGAGGAGAUACAAGAAUUGGGCUCAUAAAAUCAGCUCCUGAGAAGAUCUAACUAUCUGAAGACCUGUCCUGCCAGUUUCCUGGAGCACAGAGUGCCCCAUCUCUACUCUCCACCCUGAUCUCCUUCAGGGUUGCUGGAGGUCAGCAGCUGUGGCAGCACAUGAUUUAAUCCUUGCAGAGGUGGCUCAGUGGUAAAGAAUCCACCUGGCAGUUCAGGCGACGUGGGUUUGAUCCCUGGUCCAGAAGACCUCACACGCCGCAGAACGACUAAGCCCACGGGUCACCACCACUGAGCCUGUGCUCUGGAGCCGGGAACCGCAACUGCUGAGCCCACCUGCCGAGACUGCUGACGCUGGAUCACCCUGGAGCCCGUGCACCGCCGCAAGAGAAGCCUCGCAUUGAGAAAUCCAGGCACUACAACUAGAAAGCAGCCCCUGCUCGCCGCAACUAGAGAAAAGCCCGCGCUGCUACAAAGACCCAGCACGGCCAUAAGCAAAAAUUACUUUAAAAAAUCUUCCUUCUUGACCUUUUAGAGCUGGACCUUACAUGCUUGGUUCUUUUUCCUUUUUG